AACAUCGCGCACCUGCGGGAACCUGCGGAAGGAUCAUUACCGAGUUUACAAACUCCCAACCCUUUGUGAACCUUACCAUAUUGUUGCUUCGGCGGGACCGCCCCGGCGCCUUCGGGCCCGGAACCAGGCGCCCGCCGGAGGCCCCAAACUCUUAUGUCUUUAGUGGUUUUCUCCUCUGAGUGACACAUAAACAAAUAAAUAAAAACUUUUAGCAACGGAUCUCAGAUCGGAAGAGCACAC
rnacentral:misc_RNA from 1 species